UACGUAGGGUGCGAGCGUUGUCCGGAAUUAUUGGGCGUAAAGAGCUUGUAGGCGGUUUGUCGCGUCUGCUGUGAAAAUCCGGGGCUCAACCCCGGACUUGCAGUGGGUACGGGCAGACUAGAGUGUGGUAGGGGAGACUGGAAUUCCUGGUGUAGCGGUGAAAUGCGCAGAUAUCAGGAGGAACACCGGUGGCGAAGGGCGGGGUCUCUGGGGCCGUAACUGACGCUGAGGGAGCGAAAGCAUGGGGAGCGAACAGG
rnacentral:rRNA from 1 species